GCUCCGGUAGCCUAGUGGUUAGAGCGUCCACUGCGGAUGCGGGGGUCGCAGGUUCGAACCCCAACCGAAUCA